rnacentral:tRNA from 1 species
UCCCAAGUAGUAUAGUGGUUCACAUUCCACGUUGUGACCGUGGAGACACAGGUUCAAUUCCUGGCUUCAGCA